UUUUAGGAGAACAUUUUUUUAAAGUACAAAGCUAAAUUAAAUAACAAAAAAGCCAAUUGUGGCUGGAAAAUAAUAUGGGUAAAAUUAAAGUAAUAACUACUACAAGUUACAUCACCAAAAAUUAUUAAAUUAAUAAUGAAAAUAGCAACAUUCAGCUUUUGAAAAUAAGCUAGCCACAUCAAUGUACUUUCGAGAUUGAUCCAGCCAUACCAUUGCACUUUCCUGUACUACCAAACAAUAACAAUGCACUUUUAAUUACUAGCUAGCAAUAGCAUUGCACUUUCCUGAAGCAAACCACAAAAAUCAUAUACAAAGCUAAAAAUUUCGAGCCAAAGAGAGGAGGAAUAAUAGCUCAAACAGAGGUGAAAUCAGAUACCAAAAUCCAAAUAGGUCUUUAAAAGACUUUGAUUUUUUUUGUAAUAAAAAAGAGAAGAAAUCAAGCAGAUUUUUGAAACAAACCUAAAUAAGUAGAUUUCGAACUCAAAGAGAGAAGAAAUCGAGUCUAGUAAAACAUGAACAACCACAAAAAACAAUCUGAUUUCCGAAACAAAUAACAAAAACCCUAAACAUAAAUCACAUCAGAAAUUAGAAUGAGAAGUCGGAAUAAGAGAAAUUCAACCCACCCAAAUUAGAAUCGUUGUAUCAGAAUCACAAUAUCUCGGACCUAGAAGGCUUGAACCGAGAUCUUUUAACCAGAUUAGAAAUAUCAGAAAUCACAAACUAGAACUUGAAAACUAUAGAAAUUGGAGUAUUUAGAAACCAAAUAUCAGAGAAAUUGACUGAAAGCGAAAAAUACAGAUGCCACAUCUUACUUUUAUUUAUCAGAGACGCAACUUCUAGGCAUCCAAUCGACAACAUAUUUCCAAGUGUCGGAAGACGUUUCGAUUUUCUAUGGGAAAUUGAAGACGAUUAGUGGUUGUUUGGCGCUAAGUUUUCAUUUCCC
rnacentral:lncRNA from 1 species